GACGAACGCUGGCGGCGUGCUUAACACAUGCAAGUCGAACGGAAAGGCCCUGCUUUUGUGGGGUGCUCGAGUGGCGAAAGGGUGAGUAACACGUGAGUAACCUGCCCUUGACUUUGGGAUAACUUCAGGAAACUGGGGCUAAUAUCGGAUAGGAGCUCCUGCUGCAUGGUGGGGGUUGGAAAGUUUCGGCGGUUGGGGAUGGACUCGCGGCUUAUCAGCUUGUUGGUGGGGUAGUGGCUUACCAAGGCUUUGACGGGUAGCCGGCCUGAGAGGGUGACCGGCCACAUUGGGACUGAGGUACGGGCCAGACUCCUACGGGAGGCAGCAGUGGGGAAUAUCGCACAAUGGGCGGAAGCCUGAUGCAGCAACGCCGCGUGCGAGAUGACGGCCUUCGGGUUGUAAACCGCUUUCGCCUGUGACGAAGCGUGAGUGACGGUAAUGGGUAAAGAAGCACCGGCUAACUACGUG
rnacentral:rRNA from 1 species